CUACGGGGGGCAGCAGUCGAGAAUCUUCCGCAAUGGGCGAAAGCCUGACGGAGCGACGCCGCGUGAUUGAUGAAGUCUUUCGGGAUGUAAAGAUCUUUUAUGGGGGAGGACGUUAUCGACGGUACCCCAUGAAUAAGGAGCUGCCAAUCUCGUGCCAGCAGCAGCGGUAAUACGAGAGCUCCAAGCGUUAUCCGGAAUUACUGGGCGUAAAGCGUAUGUAGGCGGCGAUGUUAGUCUUCCGUGAAAUUCCUCGGCUUAACCGAGGCGCUGCGGAGGAAACGGCAUUGCUUUGAAUCCGUAAGAGGUCUGUGGAACUCAUCAUGUAGGGGUGAAAUCCGUUGAUAUGAUGGGGAACACCAAAGGCGAAGGCAACAGGCUGGUACGGUAUUGACGCUGAAGUACGAAAGCGUGGGUAGCGAAUGGGAUUAGAUACCCUCGUAGUC
rnacentral:rRNA from 1 species